AUCUAAACCUGAUAGUAGUGAAAGCUCCCGAUUUUUCAUCGGGACUUGCAACGAAUAGCAGGACUGAAC
rnacentral:sRNA from 1 species